GACGAACGCUGGCGGCGUGCUUAACACAUGCAAGUCGAACGGACAGGCCCUGCUUUUGUGGGGUGCUCGAGAGGCGAACGGGUGAGUAACACGUGAGUAAACUGCACUUGACUUUGGGAUAACUUCAGGAAACUGGGGCUAAAACCGGAUAGGAGAUCCUGAUGCAUGGUGGGGGUUGGAAAGUUGCGGCGGUUGGGGAUGGACUAGCGGCUUAUCCGCUUGUUGGUGGGGUAGUGGCUUACCAAGGCUUUGACGGGUAGCCGGCCUGAGAGGGUGACCGGCCACAUUGGGACUGAGGGACGGCCCAGACUCCUACGGGCGGCAGCAGUGGAGAGUAUUGCGCAGUGGGCGGAAGCCUGAUGCAGCAACGCCGCGAGCGUGAUGACGGCCUUCGGGUUAUAAACCACUUUCGCCUGUGACGAAGCGUUAGUGACGGUAAUGGGUAAAGAAGCACCGGCUAACUACGUG
rnacentral:rRNA from 1 species